CCAAAACGAUACUUCUUGCCAAGAACUGGUCCUUCUUUUCCGUCCCGAAGACGAAGUUCCCGGAAAAUAAGUCUUUCCUGGGAAAAAGAAUUCCCGGAAGCCAUGGGAUUGAAACGAAAAACUCUCAAACAGGGUACUUAAUUAAAGAUUGGAUUAAAAAGAAAAAAAAAAUACACCUUUCUAAAUGUUCCUCCCUUCACCAAGAAUCCAAGAUGAAUCCCUUGUCUAGAUUCCUUUUCUGCAUCUAGAAUCUCUCUUUUCUAGCUUUUUAAAUUAUAUACUGGUGACAUGUUAAAGCUGUGGAAAUGGUACCAGAAUUGCUUGGCGGUGCAUCCAGUUAAGACGCAGGUGAUUAGCUCAGGCUUUAUUUGGGGUUUUGGCGAUAUAGCUGCCCAGUCCAUCACCAAAUACACUGCCAAGAAGAAGCAAUGUCAAAAGGAGUUACAAGACAAAGAAAAAGGAUUAAAGAUCAAUUGGAAACGAGUAGCAACCACAAGCUUGUUUGGAUUUGGAUUUGUUGGACCAGUCGGCCACUUCUGGUAUGAAGGGUUAGACCAAUUUUUAAGGUUUCGACUUCUACUGCGUCCAAAUUCCUUUCGAUUUGUUACUACUAAAGUAGCAAUUGAUGGUUUCCUGUUUGGG
rnacentral:misc_RNA from 1 species